UCCACUACUCAGUUGGUAGAGUAUAAAGCUCUUAACCUUGUGGAAGUGGGUUCAAGCCCCAUGGUGGAG
rfam:Triticum aestivum genome assembly, contig: Triticum_aestivum_CS42_TGACv1_scaffold_393002_5AS